UAUGUAACAGAAAAGAUCUUCAUUUAAAUGUAUGGAAAUCAAUUAUGCCUAAGCGGUAUAUUUAUUAAACAUGUUCAAUUGAUUUUAUUAAAAACGCAUUGGAAAACAAUAGGUGCAUGUAUUAAACUGUAACUUUAGAAAGCUAUGGGUGUGACUAUUCGUUGUAAUGUCGUCAAUAUUGAUACAUUGAAUAGGUUUCAAUUUAUCCGAUGUUACCAUAGUGAAAUCCAGAAAUGCAGAACAACCACAAGUAGUAUAGGAGGGACCGGUGUGGUUGGACUAGUAUGACAUAUAUAAAGACACAAGAUGGAUUAUGCUGAAUAUGGGCAUUUAUUUAUGCCAAAACUGAGACAUCCUAAGUACAUCACAGUGAAAAAACCAAACUCAAGGCGGCAGGUGGGGAGGAGGAGGUUAGCUGUUGAUAGAAACAAGCCUUUCCUCCUUCAACGAUAAAACAAAAUGGCCAAGCUGCCUAUUGAUUGGUUGAACCGUGCUAUUGACAUGACGCGUUAUCUAUGAUCGCUCCGCCCACUAGAAUUGAUCCACCAAUCAGCGAUCGAUUAAUCGGGCGCACUCGUUAGCAACGACCUGUCCGCCAUUUUCUAGACAAGCUACAUGUUUAGGUUCACUUUUAUUCAAACGAGUUUCUAAUGUUUUUCUCUUUAAAAAAAACGAUUAAAAAUGGUUAAACGGUGUCAAUGGGGAUUAUGUAACUCGGACAAUCGAUAUCUUGAAAGAUUAGUUGGUGACAUUUAAUUUAUAUCGUUUCCAAAGCCGAUAAGAGAUCUUGAGAAGUGUAAGAGAUGUAUAAAUACAUGCGGUCGUCACCACGAACAACUGAACGUCAACACUGUCAAAGACAAUUAUAAUAUAUUUUUAUCGGAUAUACUAGCAGGUUUAAAUAGUUUAUGUUAUCGAUCUGAUUAUCACAUAUUUCAUUUUUUUAAAUAGUUUUAUCAGUUACUAGGUCAGAAGCGAGGUUCAUCUGCAUUACUUAAAGAGAAAUAAAACCCAGCAUGAAGCCUAAUUCGUGCUGUGUUUUAUUACUCUGAUAGUAAUGCACUUAAUUGACAUCAUACAUGUUAUUUGAAGGUGACAUGUGAUAUAUUAUCUUAUUAACGGUAUCUACACAUUUGCACUCAUGUGGUGUCACCAAUAAACGCUUUUAAUCCACACUAAGAGCUCGAAUGCCUAGAUCUCAUUUUUUAAACGAGUUUCGUUUAUUUUGUUCGGACUAAAAAACGGAAAUGAAAUAUGGCAAAAACGGUGUAAAAAGGGUUAAUGCAACUCUGACAUUUGGUAUCCAGAAAGAUAAGUUAGAUGAAUUAAAUUUAUACCAUUUCCAACGCGGCAAUGCGGUCUUGACAAGAGCGAGUGGAAGCUUCAAAAUUACUGAGAUCCCCUUUAUAGAACAUUAAUUUAUUUAACAAACUUGAAAUGUCAUAUAAGCAAUAACUAAGCAUUAUUAAGUAUGUAUUAUGUCACGUGUGCAUGUAAAAUAAUUGAGAAUUUUGGUACCCAAUUCAUGUAACUUUACGAAAUCCCCGUUGAAAAUCGCGUUUCUGUGUGUGUCAGAAACAAGUGAAAACCAUUUUGUUAUUAUUUUAAUAAAGACGUAUCGAUAAAUGCUAUUGUAAAAGAGUUAUUAUUACUGAUAUUAGUUAACCAAUAAAUGUGGUAACUUCGGGGAAGUCGGUACCUGCGCGAGCGUCUGAUAUUGGUAGCCUUAUUUAUUUAUUAUAGCCUGACCGUAUUCCAUUUCGUACAACGCUAAUUUUAUAUCAGACAAUGACCAAACUUACUGUGUUGUUUUUGCGCUUUAUAUUAUAGUGAUUGAUAAAUGUCCCAUAAGCAAUGUUUAAUAUGAUUAAUAUCACUUUUAUACGCAAUUACAUGUGGGAUUGAGGUACCCACCCGGCGUCAGAAAGCGCGUAAAACUUCACCAAAUUCCCAGUUAUAAAGCGCUAU